GUUGAUGUCCCAACGUGUUGCUUUCAUUUUAUCUCAACAGUUUGUCACCUCAGGCUUUACUCAGAGGAUGACAUCUUAGGUUGUUUCAGACCAGACCUUGAUCCCUCAUAUCUCUACUAUCUUUCAGAUGCUUACAGCUCAGUCUGCACGACUUGAGAAGCUUGAGGGAUAUGUUCUGAGACUAACGGGUAGAGUUCUAGAUUUGUAGAGACAAGUAUUAGCCUUAGCCCAUCUCCAGC
rnacentral:lncRNA from 1 species